rnacentral:rRNA from 1 species
AUUGAACGCUGGCGGCAGGCCUAACCCAUGCAAGUCGAACGAGUGGCGGACGGGUGAGUAAUGUCUGGGAAACUGCCCGAUGGAGGGGGAUCACUACUGGAAACGGUAGCUAAUACCGCAUACCAUCGGAUGUGCACAGAUGGGAUUAGCUAGUAGGUGGGGGCAGGGCGCACCUAGGCGACGAUCCCUAGCUGGUCUGAGCGGAUGACCAGCCACACUGGAACUGAGACACGGUCCAGACUCCGACGGGAGGCAGCAGUGGUGAAUAUUGCACAAUGGGCGCAAGCCUGAUGCAGCCAGGCCGCAUGUAUGAAGAAGGCCUGCGGGUUUUAAAGUACUUUCAGCGAGGAGGCGUUACUCGCAGAAGAAGCACCGGCUAACUCCGUGCAAGCAGCCGCGGUAAUAC